GGGGAUGUAGCUCAGAGGGAGAGCGCCUCCCUUGCACGGAGGAGGUCAGGGGUUCAAGUCCCCUCAUCUCCACCA
rnacentral:tRNA from 2 species